UGGGGAAUCUUGGACAAUGGGCGCAAGCCUGAUCCAGCCAUGCCGCGUGGAUGAUGAAGGCCUUAGGGUUGUAAAAUCCUUUCGCCGAGGACGAUAAUGACGGUACUCGGAGAAGAAGCUCCGGCUAACUUCGUGCCAGCAGCCGCGGUAAUACGAAGGGGGCUAGCGUUGUUCGGAUUUACUGGGCGUAAAGCGCGUGUAGGCGGGUCGUUAAGUUGGGGGUGAAAUCCCGAGGCUCAACCUCGGAACUGCCUUCAAAACUGGCGACCUGGACCUAAGUAGAGGCAAGUGGAAUUGCGAGUGUAGAGGUGAAAUUCGUAGAUAUUCGCAGGAACACCAGUGGCGAAGGCGGCUAACUGGUCCGAUACUGACGCUGAGGCGCGAAAGCUAGGGCAGCAAACGGGAUUAGAUACCCACGUAGUCCCUGAGCGGGCUGGCAAGGCGCAU
rnacentral:rRNA from 1 species